GGGGGCGAGCUUGGAUUCGACGGGGAUGUUGGAGUAAGAGGAGCGAGCCCAGGACCAUGGCCUGGAUAAAACAUGGAUCGUAAAUUUAAAUGCCGACGAAGAUUACGCUUUAGCUGCUGCGUAAAUUAACGUAGCACGUCCACUCGUUCCUUUCCUGCGGGAACGAGACCGGGCGCCAACCCUAGCAGGAUACCGGUGUGAGUUGCCUCGCUCGUUCCGGGAAACCAAUUGAGGCUAGCUUUACAAGGAUCCCGCCUCUAGGAGCCUUGUAAAGCGAAAUCAAAAAUUAGAGGCUACGCUCGUAGAGCCUCUUGCUUGGGCAUCUCCGGACGGGGGUUCAAUUCCCCCCGCCUCCACCA
rfam:Natranaerobius thermophilus JW/NM-WN-LF, complete genome.